AAUAGAACAAGAUACACUUUUAAGCCUUAACUUCCUUGCAACAAAUAGUAAGGAGAGCUUUUGGAAGCGAAAGGAGGGAAAAACGAGCCAAAAUUUUACAAAAAUAAUUGGUUCUAGGAUCCACACAGCUUAAGCCUUUCCACACGGGCUGGACACACGCCCAUUUGCCAACCCGUGUCGAUUUCACACCUUACUUCCCAAACACGCGAAAAAACAUAAUUUUUAGGCUUUCUGAGCAUUCUAAAGUCUAUAAAUACCAAUUACAAGAAGACAUAAGGGGGCCAUCAGAGAAGAUCAAAGAAAACACUCAAAGAACACCAACGGAAUCAACUCAGAAGUGGAUCUCUAUCAAGAUUGAAGACCUCCUUUUAAUUUCUUCUGAACUUUUUAUAAGUUUUUAUUAUUUCUUGUGGUUUUUCUAACUUUGAGAUGUUUCUAUUUACGAUUAUGAACUAAUUCCCUAGAUAUCUAAGGAAGAUGAAACCUAUAAUGAAUCUUAUUAUUUGAUUUUUGAUUUACAUGAUAAAUACUUAAUUCUUGUUCUUAA